rnacentral:lncRNA from 1 species
AAGUCCACAGUUCACUUGUCAUAAAACAUAUACAAAACCUACUUUAAUGUUGAAAUUAAGCACUGUACUGCAAACACAAAUCUAACUUUAUAAUGUGCAAGCUGCGACCUAUUUAAACCUAUCAUUGCAAACUAAUACACGAUAGGGAACAUCAGAAUAAAUAGAGAAUGGAAGAGAAGGAAAAAAAGAACAGGAAAAUUGAAUUAGCUACAACUUGUAUUCCAUCAAAUUCGUUGAACUACGCAAUCAACCUUAGUCAUUGUUCAUUGAGCUAAGAAGGAUACCUGGCAAACAAAGUAAGAGAGAAGUGAGGAAAUCAACAGUAAGCAGCAGCAAACAAGCCCAGAUUUGAUAAAUCAAACAAUGGUUAGCUCAGUAAAACCAAUAGAAUAGUAGACGGAUCCCAAAACAAAACAGACUUUAAACCAAACUUAAACCACUUCCCUCACCCAACAUUCAAUUUCAGUGAUUUUUUAGUGAUUCUAAAUUUAGAGAAUGAUUCAGAGAAUUGAAAUAGAUAAUCUAGACCAAUUCAAGUAACUUUCAACAGUUUUAUUGGAUUUUUAGAAGGAAAUCAUUGAAUAUCAGCAUCAGUAUAUCUUUCUAUUUUUUGUGCUUCCUGGUGUUCACUCCUUCUGCCUUGAAAGGCAAGUUUGCCAUGCCUUUAUGGACAAG